AGAUAACUCCGAGUCCUCACGGCGAGGAUAGGAGUAACGGCUGUGUGGCACAGCCAUCGACACACUUGUUCGACCGCGAGAGCGGGACGUUUCACACGAGAGAACAGGUCGUGUCGUAGACCGGCAAAUAUCCCACCUGCGGCACGGGAAGCCUCGCCGUUUACGGCGAGGA
rfam:Halorubrum saccharovorum strain H3 NODE_98, whole genome shotgun sequence.